UUUUCCAUUAAUAAUAAUUUAUAGUAAUUGUUUUUAAGGGAAUGUGACAGCUAUUUUAAAUCUCUCACUCAAUAACCAACCAAUUUCACUAAAAAACAAAAAAACAAAAAUCUCAUAUCUCUCUCUUCACACUCACGUGAAACUCUCUCUCAAUUCCUCCUCAUUUCUUCCUCUCACCACGCGUCCCCCCACUAAUCUUAUCUCCACUCAUUUCCUCACAAAACAAAAUCUCUCAGACUCUCUCUUCACUACCUCACAUU
rnacentral:lncRNA from 1 species